rnacentral:lncRNA from 1 species
UGCAGCUGCUGCUGGAGGUAGCGCAGCUUCUCCUGGGUGGUAAGGGAGGACGGGGUCACAGCGUCCAGCCGCUUUCCUCCCGCAACCACCUCCACCCCAAAAUCCGCUCCAGUACUCCCCGAGAUUGGAAGUAGAACGCCUGUGGGGACAGUAUGUUGGAAGUCUCACUGGCUGUCAUUAGGGAGGGGAGGCACCAUUUGAGGCCCAGUUGGACUCCAAUUCCCGCUAACCUCCCACAGCCUGCCUCCAGGUAUCCACCCGGCCCUCCAAGCCCUCCAGGCGUCAAAUACCAGUCCCGGCCACUUGGCAAGAACAACUGAAGCUUUCUCAGCAUUUUGUUGGAAAAUGAGUGGGCAUGUGGACAGGACGGGCCUUCUCACCUGAAGUCCAGCUCGAUUCUCUUUCUGGGACCUGAAUGUGACUGCAGGGCAAGAGUCCCCCAUCUGGGUGUUGGAGCCUCAUUUGAAUCCCUCUUAUCAGCGAGUUCUAAGGAUGACUAUGUGCACGAAGGUGCAGUGUGGUGGUGGUGUCGGGGCAGGGAGUUCCACCUAAAAGUGUAUCUUGAGUCCCUCGUGCAUCUGACCUCCUCCCACAAAUCCUGGGACUGCCCCCUAGCCCUUACCUCCAGCAGGGCAGAAUUCUGCUUCAAGACGUUGGUUUUGAUUUCAGCAUCUUCCACAGACCGGGUCACCUUCCAGCAGUUCUCCUGGGUCAGACACCAGGGCGAGGGCCCUGCCUUCCCAUUCCAGUUCUGCCUCCCAACCCUUAGCCUGUCUGUUUCCAUCCAGGCUCCAGGCCUCCUAGCCCCCCAGUACAAGACACACUCACCAGCUCAUUUCCUUGGCUAAGGGGAUGGCUUCCUCCUUAGCCAGAUGUGCCAGAGUGGCACCCCUCCACUUCCUCCCACCUCUCUUCGGUCCACCCAUUCCAUUUCUCCUCUUUCUUUUCUUUUUUUCUUUUGAGACUGAGUCUCGCUCUGUCGGCCAGGCUGGAGUGCAGUGGCGCAAUCUUGGCUCACUGCAACUUCCACCUCGUGGAUUCAAGCAAUUCUUCUGCCUCAGCCUCCCAAGUAGCUGAGAUUACAGGCGCCCGCCACCACACCUGGCUAAUUUUUGUAUUUUUAGUAGAGAUGGGGUUUCACCAUGUUGGCCAGGCUGGUCUCAAACUCCUGACCUCAGGUGAUCUGCCUGCCUCGGCCUCCCAAAGUGCUGGGAUUACAGAUGUGAGCCACUGCACCCAGCCUCCUCCCCUCUUUCUCCCACCCUCUUCUUACUCCCAUUCCCCUCUCCCCAUCCAUUCCUGCGUCCCACUGGCUCACCUUGAGUUGAAUGCAGUACCCCUCCAACUCUUCUGCCUCUUGCCGCCUUCUCUCCAGAUUCUCGCUCAGCACAGAACACUCGCUCUGGAGCAUGGAAGGAGGAGAGGUUAGCCAAGGACACGAGGGGACAGCCUGUGGAAAAGAAGAUCUGGGCCUGGGAAGGUUCCUUUUCUUUCUGAGCCUCAAGCUCCCCAACUGAGCUAUGGGUGCAUUCUGCUGGAGGCAGGCUCCAAGAAGGGAACUUGGCCCUGGAGGAAGGGCAGGUGUUGGAUAUAGGGGGUCCUCACACCUGCAGAGACUGCACGUGCUGGUUAACCCGGUUGGUCUUUUCCUUCAAGCUGGUGAUGGAGUCUUUGGCGCGGACCAAUCCACUGUUGACCCCACUCUGGGGAAGAAUGGGAGACAGGGCUGUCUUGGACCAGCAGAUAGAGGACACAAUGAAACAGAAGAAGCCUGAAUCCUUGACAUGGAGCCACCAUACUCCAUUCCAACCACCUGUGAAGACUUUCAGGGGAACGAUAGCCUCAAUGUCAUAAGCAGCCACCUAUGAAGAGGCCCAUGUAGCAAGGAAUUGAGGCCUCCAGCCAAGGGCAGGUGAGUGCCCCAUUUUGGUAGCACAACCUCUGGCCCCAGUCCAACCUUCAGGUGACUGCAGCCCCAGCCAAAAUCUUGUUUGCAACCUCGUGAGACGCCCUGAGCCAGGCCCACCCAGCUGAGCCCCUCCAAGUUUGUUGUUUGAAGUUUUGGUGUAAUUGGUUUCACAGCAAUAGAAAGCAUUACACAAAGUGUCUUUCUAACCUGAAGACUCAGAAGGUCUUGGGUUUCCUGUGGGUAAUUGUUCUGGAAACCAAGGCAACAGGACCUAGGGCCAACUAAUUUCUCCCAGUUACUAGCCGUAUGACCUCAUGGAGAGGACUUCACCUCUCUGUGCCUCUGCUUCCCUACCUGUGAAAUGGAGAUAUAACUAACAACUACCUUCACAGGGUUCCCAUUGUCCUUCCUCCUACCUGGAAACUGACACUCUCUCAACCAGGGUCUCCAUCACCGCCUGGUUCUCUGUCCCCCUCUUUCCAGUUCUCUGUCCCCACCCAGCCCCUGUGUCUGUUCCUUCUCUCUCUGGGUCUCUAUCCCCCUCCUCUAUUUCUGGUCUUCUGUCUCACCCUGAUUCAGCUCUGUCCCCCAAAUCUCAGAGUCUCUGACUUAUUUUUCCUGAGUCUCUGCCUUUCUACUCUUUAGGUCUCUGUCUUCUUUUUUUUUUUUUUUUUUUGAGAUAGAGUCUCACUCUGUCACCAGGCUGGAGUGCAGUGGCACGAUCUCGGCUCUCUGCAACCUCCACCUCCCGAGUUCAAGCGAUUCUCCUGCCUCAGCCUCCCGAGUAGCUGGGAUUACAGGCAUGUGCCCCCCUCUGUCUCUGGGUCUCUGUCCUCCUCUCUCUCUGGGUCUCUGUCCUCCUCUCUCUUGGUCUCUGUCCCCCACUCUCUGGGUCUCUGUCCCCCUCUCCCUGGUCUCCCUUCCCCUCUCUCUGGGUCUCUGUUCCCCUCUCUCUCUCUGGGUCUCUGUCUCCCUCUCUCUCUGGGUCUCUGUGUCCUUCUCUCUGCCUGUCCCCGCCUUCUCUCUGGAUGCAGCUCAGGUGCUGGGUGCUGGUUCCAGCUCCUGCUGCCCCCCUCACCUCUCCAGCAGGCACCCCAAGGUCAUUACUUUUUCCAUUUCACAGAGAAGGAACUUGAAGCCCGUUAGAGGCCGACACUCCCCUGCAGCCCCACAGCGAGCUGGCAGCUGUGUCAGACCUUGAUCCUGGCUGCCUGGGGUACUUUCUCAGGCUUCACGAUCCAGUGGGGGAUGUGACUCAGAAAUAGCUCUGGUGGGAGGCAAACGGCUGCAAGUGCUGCCUGAGGGACACUCCCCAAGACAGGGCGGAGAGCUCUUCUGUCUGAGGGAGGAGAUGUCUCCCAGACAUCCUUCCCAGCCCAGACUCUUUGCCCUGUUCUCUGCAGCUCCUCCUCCUUCCCUGGACCCUCGCCCAGGCUCCCCUCUGGCCUCCCUGCCUCAGUCUCUCCCCUCCAAACAUCCCCCACUCAGCCCAAGGGAGUCUUGGGGAGAGAAAGCCCUUUUGCAUUAGUGACAAAAGCAGCAGCCUUCUUGUCUUGGUCCUGCUUCUUACAACCCCUCCAACCUUGACCUUGUGGAGGUUACUACACCACUGUCUACCUUAGUUGUUUCUUUUUUUUUUUUGAGACGGAGUUUUGCUCUUGUUGCCCAGGCUGGAGUGCAAUGGCACGAUUUCGGUUCACUGCAACCUCUGCCUCCCAGGUUCAAGC